GUUGUACCCAGCACCGCGGCGCGUGCCUGUAGUCCCAGCUACUUGGGAGACUGAGGUGGGAGGAUUGCUUGAGCCCAGGAAUUCUGGGCUGUAGUAUGCAAUGCCGAUCCGGUGCCCGCACGAAGUUCGGCAUCAAUAUGGUGACCUCCCGGGAUCGGGAGACCACCAGGUUGCCUAAGGAGGGGUGAAGCGGCCCAGGUCGGAAACGGAGCAGGUCAAAACUCCCGUGCUGAUCAGUAGGGAUCGCGCCUGUGAAUAGCCACUGCACUCCAGCUUGAGCAACAUAGCGAGACCCGGUGUCU
rnacentral:SRP_RNA from 1 species